AGGGAAAGCCCAAAUUUGUAAUCUGGUUCUUUCAGGAUCAGAGUUGUAAUUUUGAGAACUGUUUUCUGUGCUUGACCAUAUAUAAGUCUGUUGAAAAGCAGCAUCAUUGAGGGUGAUAAUCCCGUAUAUGAUAUGGACUUACCAAGUACUUUUUAUGAUACAGUCUCUAAGAGUCGAGUUGUUUGGGAAUGCAGCUCAAAGUGGGUGGUAAAUUCCAUCUAAGGCUAAAUAUAGGUGAGAGACCGAUAGAAACAAGUACCGUGAGGGAAAGAUGAAAAGAACUUUGGAAAGAGAGUUAACAGUAUGUGAAAUUGUUAAAAGGGAAACACUUGAAGUUAGACUUGUUAUUAUUAGUUCAACCUCUUAAGGAGGAGUAUUCUAAUGAUUAACAGACCAACAUGAAUUUUUGAGUGUUGGAGAAGGGCCUAUAGGAAAUGUAGCAAUCACUGAUUGUGUUAUAGUCCCUUGGCUUUGAUACAAUGCUUAAGAUUGAAGAUUGCAGCAAGCCCUCUUGGAGGGG
rnacentral:rRNA from 1 species